CAACAUAAAUUACUAAACUGGAAGAAGAUUUACCAAGUUUGCGAUUCGUUUUUAGUUAGGAAUCUGUAACAAUGGUUAAUUUAAGGUUUCUGCUGUUGAUUCUAACGCCUUUUUUUGGGCUGCAAAUUAAGGCUGAGUUCAAAACUUGGCCAGAUCCAUAUAACGUUGCAAUAUCCUCAGAAAGACAACUGUCACUCUUAAAGCUAAAAGAGCGACAAGUAAACAAUCUUUACAAUUACAGAGAAGAAUUGAAAUCGCAUCUUAAACAUGUUCAGUUAGCUGUGAAACAUUCAAGGGAACUGCUAAAAUCGGCUUCGCAUUAUCCUAACAACUUGUUGAUUGGCUUUAAAUUAAUACGGCACUUACGGAAUGAUUGGCCACAAUAUUUAAAGUUUAUGAAUACCAAAUUGGGCACAGAAGAGAUUGCAUUUUCUCAGGAACAAUUAUCAACUCUGCCAACGUCAGAGGAUUUUAUCGAUGCCCUGACAGCGAUCUAUAAACUUCAAACUAUAUAUGAUUUGGAUGCCGCUGAUAUGGCAAGUGGAAUAUUGGAUGGAAAACAAUACAAUGUUAAAAAUUGGGGUACGGAUGAGUGCUUAAUUUUGGGUCUGAUGUAUCAAACCGUGAAGCUGUACGACAAAUCGGAGUAUUGGCUACAACUGGCUCUAUUUUACUACAGUGAAUAUUCCCAUCAAAAGCAGCUUGACGUUACGCUGUGGAAGUAUCAUAACAUAUUAGAAUCUAUAGUAGAAGCUUACAAAGGAAUGGGAAACUACAUAGAUGCUAAGCAAUAUGCGCUAGAAAUCCUUGCCAUUCAGCCGAAUCACACUUACAUGCUAAGCCAAAUUCCGAAGCUUGACUAUCUGGAAAAGAAUCCUGCCAAUAUAACAGAAGUUGAGAAAGAUUUUCAGCGUCAAAAAAGACUUUGUACGAAAAGUUAUAUGAAAAGAUUGGCAAAUCUUUACUGUUAUUAUGAAAGCUGGUCGCCAUUCCUACGCUUGGCUCCAAUCAAAGUAGAGGAAUUAUCCGAGGAAAUAUAUCUAAAUAUAUUCCCUGAUUUUAUCAGUCAAAAAGAAAUCGAUGUACUAAAAAAUGCUGCCAAAACCAAUCUUCAACGCGUCGAGGACCUAUCAUGGAACUGCAGUUGUAUGGUGGCUGAGCUAUCGGGUUCCUCAAAUAAUGUUAUUCAUAACAUUAAUCGAAGAAUUAUGGACAUAACCGGAAUGAGAAUCGAUAAAAAUGAUAUGCUGCAAGUCAUAAAUUAUGGCAUGGCAGGAAAUUACAAUCCAGAUGACACUGAAAAAUCAGAAAAUGUUCAUAAAGGAAAUGUCCUGAUAUUUUUAAGCAAUGCUGAGCAUGGUGGAGAAACUGUUUUCGAUUCUUUGGAAUUAAAAGUGAAACCUAUUAAGGGUUCUAUGCUGAUUUGGGCUAACAGCCAAGACAUUGUUCUUCAUCAUCAGUGCCCUCUUUUGAAAGGAAAUAUGUGGUUGGCUUCAAAAAAGCUGAACUAAGCUUUAUCAAGCUUGGGCAUUUUGCUGGCAUGUAAACAAUGCCACAGUGCCACAGAGCAGUGGCAUCAGAGCAUCAGCGGGCCAGGGCUAAAACUUAAUUAAGUCCGAUGGAGGACGACGGCGUGGCGAUGCCCGAAAUGCAGGAAACCCCAAAGAAAGUUUCUUUUUGCGCAAAAAGGAUUGCCAGUUUAAAAUAAAAAUUGCCACAAAGUUUCAACCAAAGCGGCGGUGACUUCUAUGGACACCGAUGCCAGGGAGCAAGGGAUUCGCAUCCAUCAGUGUGAAACCGAAAGCCAACUGCCAGUCCCAGUCGGAGCAGGAGCCAGAGCCAGAGCCAAAGCCAGAGCCAGGGAGCAAUCAACCGGACACCUUCCAUAGAUGCCCAACGAAUAGAUGGAUGACGGAGACUAUAUCGACCCGACUCCUCCUCCGCACACCUUUGGCCAUGGGUAGCCGGGUCAUAAAAAUUUCAAACUGCAACCUGGACAUCCUGGAUACUGAUGCUUUCAUACUCGCUUGUAACGUCUCUAGCCCCCUGUGAAAGGCUUCCGGGCAUGCUGCUUAAAAGCUCAGCUAAGGGUCGUCUAAUGGAUGCGGCAGGACACCUGUCCGGGUCGGAGAGCAGGUCCUGGGCUUCGUUGAAGUCCUGGCGAUCCGGUAAAUCCUGCAAAAUUGAGCUGGAUGAAAUCUGUGCAUUCGGUUUGUUUUCCUUCCCCCUGCCACUGUCAGUGUGUGCUGACAUUUCUGCGAGUUUUUACUCAUAUUUUUUUGUCUUCUACAGCUCCGUUUUACAGCUGGCCAAAGGACAGAAUCCGAAACAAGUGUCCUGUACACAUAUUGAGCUUUUGAUAGUUUGUUUUCCUCUGCACCAUUUUCACACAUUGAUGGGAAAAAGGAUGACUAAAGCGGAAAGAACAAUUUAUGGCAAUGAUAAAGAAUGCUAAUUGAGAAACACCAAUAUCUCGGAUACUAUUAAUGAUAGAGCUGCAAAAAUUGGACACAAAUAUUCCUCACAUCUGGAUG